UACGGAGGAUCCAAGCGUUAUCCGGAAUUACUGGGCGUAAAGAGUUGCGUAGGUGGCAUAGUAAGCAAGUAGUGAAAGCGUGUGGCUCAACCAUACUCACAUUAUUUGAACUGCUAAGCUAGAGGACAGGAGAGGUUAUUGGAAUUCCCAGUGUAGGAGUGAAAUCCGCAGAUAUUGGGAGGAACACCGAUGGCGUAGGCAGAUAACUGGCCUGUUCCUGACACUAAGGCACGAAAGCGUGGGGAGCAAACGGG
rnacentral:rRNA from 1 species